rnacentral:misc_RNA from 1 species
UGCGACCAAAAUCCUGCUUGAAUU